AAACUCCCGGUCCCGCCGCCGCCAGGUGGCGCCGCCCGCCCGCGCUUAGCGCCGAGCCGCGGGCGGUGCGGGUGCGGUGCGGGUGCGGGGCUGGAAGCGGGUGCGGGUGCGGGUCCUGGCCCGGGAGCGGAGCCGGGAGCCGGGAUAGAAAUGCUUGGCUGAAGGGGGAGCCGCCGCUGAGCGGAGUCCGCCCGGGAAACCCAUCGGGGCGUCGUGGGCAGCCUUUGGGCUUGGCGCGCCCCAAACGAGGCGUCCACCUGAACGAUUCCUAUCGUCACUAUUAUCGGCGGUUAAAGUCUGUGAAUCCGAGCAGCUUCCAGCUCGCCUUGCUGCGCCGUGUCGCCGCAGCGGCUGCCAGUACGCGCUAACGCCUCGGUGGCGUGUUUGCACCGCGGCGUUUCAACUCGACGGGUUGAACUGCCCGGAACGGGGGGACGGAGCCGGCACGGCUCUUCCCAGCUGCCGGCGACGAGCUGCAGCUGGGAGACCGCCCCGCGCGAUCUCGGCUCAUUUUCUCUAAGCAAUACAAGUUCACGGACGCGCUACCUAGCCAGCCCUCUUCUCCCGUCAUGGACCUCCCAGGCUGCGCGCCACCCGCCCUCUGAGGAGGCUCCUUCGCCCCGCGCGGAGGAAGAGGAGGAGGAGGAGGAGGAGGCGGAGGAGGAGGAUAAGGAUAAGGGAGGAAGGCGCGGCCCCAGCCGCCGCCGCCCAGCCGCCGUCCCGCAGAGCGCUGGCCGCGGGGCGCCGCGGCGGCAGCAGGCGCGCAGC
rnacentral:lncRNA from 1 species